rnacentral:rRNA from 1 species
AAUGAACGCUGGCGGCGUGCUUUACACAUGCAAGUCGAGCGAGGCCAGGUAGCAAUACCUGAGUCGAGCGGCGCACGGGUGAGUAACGCGUGGAUAACCUGCCUGAAGGUGGGGGAUAACCCGGGGAAACUCGGGCUAAUACCGCAUAACACCAAGAGGUCAAAGGGGGCUCGCAAGGGCUCUCGCCGGCAGCGGGGUCCGCGUCCGAUUAGCUAGUUGGCAGGGUAAUGGCCUACCAAGGCGACGAUCGGUAGCCGGCCUGAGAGGGUGAUCGGCCACACUGGAACUGAGACACGGUCCAGACUCCUACGGGAGGCAGCAGUGGGGAAUUUUGCGCAAUGGGCGAAAGCCUGACGCAGCAACGCCGCGUGGAGGAUGAAGGUCUUCGGAUUGUAAACUCCUGUCAGUGGGGAAAAAGGGGAACGUGCUCAUACCACGUUUCAUUGAUUGUACCCGCAGAGGAAGCCCCGGCUAACUCUGUGCCAGCCGCCGCGGUAAUAC